rfam:Macrostomum lignano uti_cns_0007465, whole genome shotgun sequence.
GGCAACGGCCAUACCACGUUGCAAACACCGGUUCUCGUCUGAUCAUCGAAAUUAAGUAACUUUGGGUUUGGUUAGUACUUGGAUGGGUGACCGCCUGGGAAUACCAAAUGCAAGGACCA